CGGGUGAGUAACGCGUGGGUAACCUGCCUCAUACAGGGGGAUAACAGUUAGAAAUGACUGCUAAUACCGCAUAAGCGCACAGUGCUGCAUGGCACAGUGUGAAAAACUCCGGUGGUAUGAGAUGGACCCGCGUCUGAUUAGCUAGUUGGUGGGGUAACGGCCUACCAAGGCGACGAUCGGUAGCCGGACUGAGAGGUUGAACGGCCACAUUGGAACUGAGACACGGUCCAA
rnacentral:rRNA from 1 species